UGCUCCCAUGAGAGUGGCGCACGGGUGAGUAACGCGUAUGCAACCUACCUUUAACAGAGGGAUAGCCCAUAGAAAUGUGGAUUAAUACCUCAUAGUUCUUUUGGCCUGCAUGGGUUGAAAGAUAAAGCCACCAGGCGGUUAAAGAUGGGCAUGCGUGACAUUAGCUAGUUGGUAAGGUAACGGCUUACCAAGGCUACGAUGUCUAGGGGUUCUGAGAGGAUGAUCCCCCACACUGGUACUGAGACACGGACCAGACUCCUACGGGAGGCAGCAGUGAGGAAUAUUGGUCAAUGGGCGCAAGCCUGAACCAGCCAUCCCGCGUGCAGGAUGACGGCCCUAUGGGUUGUAAACUGCUUUUAUACACCAAGAAAAACUUUCACGUGUGGGAGCUUGACGGUAGUGUAUGAAUAAGCAUCGGCUAACUCCGUGCGAGCAGCCGCGGUAAUACGGAGGAUGCAAGCGUUAUCCGGAUUCAUUGGGUUUAAAGGGUGCGUAGGCGGCUUUUUAAGUCAGUGGUGAAAUCCUGCCGCUUAACGGUAGAAUUGCCAUUGAUACUGAGAAGCUUGAGUACAUUUGAGGUAAGCGGAAUGUGUAGUGUAGCGGUGAAAUGCUUAGAUAUUACACAGAACACCCAAUUGCGAAGGCAGCUUACUAAACUGUUACUGACGCUGAUGCACGAAAGCGUGGGGAGCGAACAGGAUUAGAUACCCUGGUAGUCCACGCCGUAAACGAUGCUCACUCGCUGUUUGCGAUACACAGCAAGCGGCCAAGCGAAAGCAUUAAGUGAGCCACCUGGGGAGUACGAUCGCAAGGUUGAAACUCAAAGGAAUUGACGGGGGCCC
rnacentral:rRNA from 1 species